UCCGUAGGUGAACCUGCGGAAGGAUCAUUAAUGUAACCGGACCGGUCCUCUGCCGUCAAACGCAGCGGAUGGGAAUGGGAGAUAUCAUACACCCUAUGUUUAUUUACUUUUGUUGCUUUGGCGGGCCGUCCUCUCAGGCGUCGGCCCCGGCUGAUCGCGCCCGCCAGAGGACCCAAACUCUUUUAUCAGUGAUGUCUGAGUACUAUAUAAUAGUUAAAACUUUCAACAACGGAUCUCUUGGUUCUGGCAUCGAUGAAGAACGCAGCGAAAUGCAAUAAGUAAUGUGAAUUGCAGAAUUCAGUGAAUCAUCGAAUCUUUGAACGCACAUUGCGCCCGCUGGUAUUCCGGCGGGCAUGCCUGUUCGAGCGUCAUUAUGACCAAUCAAGCUCUGCUUGGCCUUGGGGCCCGCUGUACCGGCGGCCCUUAAAAUCAGUGGCGGUGCCGUCUGGCUCUAAGCGUAGUAAUACUUCUCGCUACAGGGUCCAGCCAUCCACCCGCCAGAACCCCCCAACUUUCUUAGGUUGACCUCGGAUCAGGUAGGGAUACCCGCUGAACUUAAGCAUACA
rnacentral:rRNA from 1 species